UACAGAGGUCUCAAGCGUUGUUCGGAUUCAUUGGGCGUAAAGGGUGCGCAGGCUGUGUGGUAAGUCAGGUGUGAAAUUUAGAGGCUCAACCUCUAAACUGCACUUGAUACUGCCACGCUAGAGGACUGUAGAGGAGAUUGGAAUUCACGGUGUAGCAGUGAGAUGCGUAGAUAUCGUGAGGAAGACCAGUGGCGAAGGCGAAUCUCUGGGCAGUUCCUGACGCUCAUGCACGAAGGCUAGGGGAGCAAACGGG
rnacentral:rRNA from 1 species